rnacentral:rRNA from 1 species
CCCUUAGAUGUUCUCGGCCGCACACGCGCUACACUGAAAGAGGCAACGUGUUUGCCUGAUUCGAAAGAAUUGGGUAACCCCCUAAUCUCUUUCGUGCUGGGGAUUGAGGUUUGCAAUUAUCCUUCAUGAACGAGGAAUUCCCAGUAAGUGCGAGUCAUUAUCUCGCGCUGACUACGUCCCUGCCCUUUGUACACACCGCCCGUCGCUACUACCGAUUGAAUGAUUUAGUGAGGACUUCGGACUGAGUCCAAUGCGGCUUUCGGGCUGCGUUGGUAUUUCGGAAAGAUGUCCAGACUGUAUCAUUUAGAGGAAGUAAAAGUCGUAACA